GCAUAUCAAUAAGCGGAGGAAAAGAAACCAACAGGGAUUGCCCCAGUAACGGCGAGUGAAGCGGCAACAGCUCAAAUUUGAAAUCUGGCCCCAGGCCCGAGUUGUAAUUUGCAGAGGAUGCUUUUGGCGCGGUGCCUUCCGAGUUCCCUGGAACGGGACGCCAUAGAGGGUGAGAGCCCCGUACGGUUGGACACCAAGCCUUUGUAAAGCUCCUUCGACGAGUCGAGUAGUUUGGGAAUGCUGCUCUAAAUGGGAGGUACAUUUCUUCUAAAGCUAAAUAUUGGCCAGAGACCGAUAGCGCACAAGUAGAGUGAUCGAAAGAUGAAAAGCACUUUGAAAAGAGGGUUAAACAGCACGUGAAAUUGUUAAAAGGGAAGCGCUUGUGACCAGACUUGCGUCCGGUGAAUCACCCAGCUCUCGCGGCUGGGGCACUUCGCCGGCACAGGCCAGCAUCAGCUUGCCGUCGGGGACAAAAGCUUCAGGAACGUGGCUCCUCUCGGGGAGUGUUAUAGCCUGUUGCAUAAUACCCUUCGGCGGGCUGAGGUACGCGCUCCGCAAGGAUGCUGGCGUAAUGGUCAUCAGCGACCCGUCUUGAAACACGGACCAAGGAGUCAACCUUAUGUGCGAGUGUUUGGGUGUUAAACCCCUACGCGUAAUGAAAGUGAACGCAGGUGAGAGCUUCGGCGCAUCAUCGACCGAUCCUGAUGUUCUCGGAUGGAUUUGAGUAAGAGCAUAUAGGGUUGGACCCGAAAGAAGGUGAACUAUGCGUGUGUAGGGUGAAGCCAGAGGAAACUCUGGUGGAGGCUCGCAGCGGUUCUGACGUGCAAAUCGAUCGUCAAACAUGCGCAUGGGGGCGAAAGACUAAUCGAACCUUCUAGUAGCUGGUUUCCGCCGAAGUU
rnacentral:rRNA from 2 species